rnacentral:lncRNA from 1 species
UGCCUUCUGUGCUCUUGAGGAAAGAGAGCAGCUAAAGGGCGAGGACUUCAGCUGCAAUUCCUCAGCCCCACCCAGCCCGGCCACUUCGUGUACACCACAGCCCAGCAGGUCCCCCGCAAUGCCUAUUUUCCCAUGAUGUAUUUCUGCGCUCAGCUUCUCAAAACCAGACUUUUGUAGAGAGGGAUAACCUGCCAGCUCUUCUCCUCUGCUUGUCGCCGCGAGGACCCCACUCCCAUCCUGUCUUCUGCUCUGCUCUCUUUGCCGGGACUAGGGAGGGAGCCCCAGCUCCCAAUUCACUCUCACUCGGGAAGAACACUUAGGCCACAAACCCGAAACCCACCCUGGAGCCAAGGGGUGUCUUCACACAGGAAAAAGGCACACCCCACUGCUGGGCUUGUGGACAGUGCAACGCCAUCCUUGCGCUGCCGGGCGUGGGGACAGGGAAGGUGGGGAAAGUCAGAGUCACCGCUGCUUAGGCUGAUUUGUGUUGUAUUUAAUUUGUGGAACACAUUAAUUCUAAAUAAUACUUGAGCCUUCCUUCCCCUUCCCUCUUGUUCUUCCCCUCCUCCCUUCCCUUCCCCCCCUUUCCCUCCUUCCCUACCUCCCUUCCUUUCCACUUUUCGAUAAAUAUUUGCUUGGAGUCUGCUGUGUGCCUGAGAAAAUCUAUAUGAAGGUGAUCCAACAGAAACAGAGAGCAAGAGGUAGACCCCCAAGGAACUCGCCCAGCAGC